rnacentral:rRNA from 1 species
UACGGGGGGGGCAAGCGUUGUUCGGAAUUACUGGGCGUAAAGGGUUUGUAGGUGGCUUGUUAAGUCAGACGUGAAAUCCCUCAGCUUAACUGGGGAACUGCGUCUGAUACUGGCGAGCUUGAGUGCAGGAGAGGAACGCGGAAUUCCAGGUGUGGCGGUGAAAUGCGUAGAUAUCUGGAGGAACACCGGUGGCGAAGGCGGCAUCCUGGACCGGUAUUGACGCUGAGGCGCGAAAGCCAGGGGAGCAAACGGG